rnacentral:rRNA from 1 species
UGGGGAAUAUUGGACAAUGGGCGCAAGCCUGAUCCAGCCAUACCGCGUGGGUGAAGAAGGCCUUCGGGUUGUAAAGCCCUUUUGUUGGGAAAGAAAAGCAGUCGAUUAAUACUCGGUUGUUCUGACGGUACCCAAAGAAUAAGCACCGGCUAACUCCGUGC